GGUUGCUGCUAUCGGUGUUCGCCUAAGCCAUGCGAGUCAUAUGUUCUUCGGAACAUGGCGUACUGCUCAGUAACACGUGGAUAACCUGCCCUUGGGUCCGGCAUAACCCCGGGAAACUGGGGAUAAUUCCGGAUAACGCACAUAUGCUGGAAUGCUUUAUGCGUCAAAUGGAUUCGUCCGCCCAAGGAUGGGUCUGCGGCCUAUCAGGUAGUAGUGGGUGUAAUGUACCUACUAGCCUACGACGGGUACGGGUUGUGAGAGCAAGAGCCCGGAGAUGGAUUCUGAGACAUGAAUCCAGGCCCUACGGGGCGCAGCAGGCGCGAAAACUUUACAAUGCGGGAAACCGUGAUAAGGGGACACCGAGUGCCAGCAUCAUAUGCUGGCUGUCCGGGUGUGUAAAAUACACCUGUUAGCAAGGGCCGGGCAAGACCGGUGCCAGCCGCCGCGGUAACACCGGCGGCCCGAGUGGUGAUCGCGAUUAUUGGGUCUAAAGGGUCCGUAGCCGGUUUGGUCAGUCCUCCGGGAAAUCUGACGGCUUAACCGUUAGGCUUUCGGGGGAUACUGCCAGACUUGGAACCGGGAGAGGUAAGAGGUACUACAGGGGUAGGAGUGAAAUCUUGUAAUCCCUGUGGGACCACCUGUGGCGAAGGCGUCUUACCAGAACGGGUUCGACGGUGAGGGACG
rnacentral:rRNA from 1 species